rnacentral:tRNA from 1 species
UAGCUCAGCGGUCAGAGCGGCGGACUCAUAAUCCGUUGGUCCGGGGUUCAAAUCCCUG